rnacentral:rRNA from 1 species
GACGAACGCUGGCGGCAUGCCUAAUACAUGCAAGUCGAGCGGAGUUGACGAGAAGCUUGCUUCUCUGAUACUUAGCGGCGGACGGGUGAGUAACACGUAGGCAACCUGCCUUUCAGUUUGGGAUAACUUCCGGAAACGGAUGCUAAUACCGAAUACAUCAUCUUCUGGCAUCAGAGCAUGAGGAAAGACGGCGCAAGCUGUCACUGAGAGAUGGGCCUGCGGCGCAUUAGCUAGUUGGUGGGGUAAUGGCUCACCAAGGCGACGAUGCGUAGCCGACCUGAGAGGGGGAACGGCAACACUGGGACUGAGACACGGCCCAGACUCCUACGGGAGGCAGCAGUAGGGAAUCUUCCACAAUGGGCGAAAGCCUGAUGGAGCAAUGCCGCGUGAGUGAUGAAGGUUUUCGGAUCGUAAAGCUCUGUUGCCAGGGAAGAACGUCCGGGUGAGUAACUGCACCCGGAGUGACGGUACCUGAGAAGAAAGCCCCGGCUAACUACGUGCCAGCCGCUGCGGUAA